rnacentral:rRNA from 1 species
UACGUAGGGGGCAAGCGUUGUCCGGAUUUAUUGGGCGUAAAGAGCGUGUAGGCGGCCAGGUAGGUCUUGCUGGUGAAAACUCGAGGCUUAACCUCGGGCUGUCGGCGGAAACCAUCUGGCUAGAGUCCGGAAGAGGAGAAUGGAAUUCCCGGUGUAGCGGUGAAAUGCGCAGAUAUCGGGAAGAACACCGGUGGCGAAGGCGGCUCUCUGG